rnacentral:rRNA from 1 species
AUUGAACGCUGGCGGCAGGCCUAACACAUGCAAGUCGAGCGCGCGGCGGACGGCUGAGUAAUGUCUGGGAAACUGCCUGUUGGAGGGGGAUAACUACUGGUAACGGUAGCUAAUACCGCAUACCAUCAGAUGUGCCCAGAUGGGAUUAGCUAGUGGGUGGGGUAAAGGCUCACCUAGGCGACGAUCCCUAGCUGGUCUGAGAGGAUGACCAGCCACACUGGAACUGAGACACGGUCCAGACUCCUACGGGAGGCAGCAGUGGGGAAUAUUGCACAAUGGGCGCAAGCCUGAUGCAGCCAUGCCGCGUGUAUGAAGAAGGCCUUCGGGUUGUAAAGUACUUUCAGCGGGGAGGCGUUACCCGCAGAAGAAGCACCGGCUAACUCCGUGCCAGCCGCCGCGGUAAUUC